rnacentral:tRNA from 9 species
GCCAAUGCUAGCUUUGGUGCAAUCCGAGCAUGUUUGAUAGAGGUGGCGUAGCGUUCUUGUAAUGAGAAGGUCGAGGGUUCGAUUCCUUUCACCGGCACCA